AAGCUGAACAUAAGCCCACAAUGUGUGCUCACAGCCCAGAAAGCCAACUGUGCCCUGGGCUGCAUCAAGAGAAGUGUGGCCAGCAGGUUGAGGGACAGGAUUCCCCCCCUCUAUUCCACUCU